rnacentral:lncRNA from 1 species
GGGGUUCGUGUUGCUUAUUCUUUAGUUUUCUAUGUUGUGUCAUGUGUUCUAUUGUUUGUUUGUUUGUCUUCUUUCAUUUUUUAGCCAGGCGUUGUCAGUUUAUUUUUCGAUUUAUGAGUUUGACUGUCCCUCUAGUAUCUUUCGUCCCUUUUUUGUUGGUAAUUUUUAUUAUCUUUUGUUUUCUUAUCCCAUCAUUAUCUAUGAUCUAGUACUUAUUCCUCUAUAUUUUCUUUCUUAGCUUAUUUUUCUCUAUUCUUUUUUUUUUGUUCAUUGUUCUCUAUCAUGUAAACUCCAUUAAAACCCACAAUUUAACACUUAUGUACAGACUAGCACAAUGCA